AGCAGCAACACAAUAAAAUGUUUAAAAGGGACACAAUUAACCAUAAUAAAACACAAAAUGAACAAUAACACGCUCGGAAUGAGAGCAUAACUCAAAGAUCAAGAAAACACUUCAAGAUUAUGUGUAGAAUUAAACAAGGUGUCUAUACAUAGUAGUAGUGUUAAAUAAUAAUGAUAAUGAACCUUCACAUUUACGGUAAAGGUAAAGGUAACCUGCUCCUCCCACCUCCUCCUCGCUCCUCCCGCAGCGGCUCCUCCUGGGUGAGGUCAGCAGGUGGACGUUUCUCCUGCAGGUGGAUAAUGCGGCAACCGGGGAAGACGCUCCCGCCUCGCCGCUGCUCGUCUACCGUACGCGCAGUCGUCCCCCCCCACCCCCACCUCUGAUUUGACAACAAGCGACGUCACUCACUGAAAAGUACCAGGCUGCUGACGGAAGUACCACCGCGGGAAAACCAAAAUAAAAGCAUCACAUCUCAACUGAAAUAAUUCUCUUCUCCCCACUCCCAUCUCUGCUCUGCCUUCCUGAUUGGACCCAGCUGUGGACACUCACCUCAUCACCAUACCAGGUGUAUUUAAGUAGAUCCUUCAACUGGAAUUCAUUGCCAGUUCGUUGCCCCUCUAUGGUGCACUUCAUGUCAAGUUUCUUGUUCUUGCGUUUCAUGCUUUUACUAAUUGCGAUUCUUCACCUCGUCUUCAGGAAAUACUGCCAUGAGUGUCAAUCUGGGUCCUACGUCCACACGAGCAGUCAGUGCUUCCAAAGCCUCCAGCCACGCCACGACUCCAAGCCAAACCACGCUUCAACUCAACGUCACGCCACAGCUCACAGCCUCUACACCUGGACUCUUAAUCCAACAAAUGCUAAAUCAACUUACUUACCCACUGGUCCUUUUCCAGGGAAAAUAUAUCGGUUCAUUUCUUCUAUGGUUCUUCCGGGUUCCAGUGUCUGGGUCUGCUCAGUUAAAGCCGAUUGUGACAGUUUCUUUUUUGUCUGGGUUAUAGUCUGGAAUUCCCAACAGAAAGUUCUGAUAAGUUGUUUUAAAUCUUUUGUUUGAGAAAAUAUUUUUAAGGAAUAAAAUUUGGAAUAUUACGUGAUUAGUCUUGUGUACGGUAGCAGGAGUUAAAGGACUUCUAGAAUUUUUUUUUUUUUUAAUAUAUAAGAUUUGGUUUAGGGACAGAAUGUUUUUUUUUUUUUCUUCUCAUUGCUCCUUUCCUGUGAUGUGUGGAUUUAUAGAGUAUAUUGAGUUAAACAAGAAACCACCAAGCUUUAAAGUGAGGCUUUUAAAAUUGGGAGCAGAUUUAAUUGCAGAACCCCUUACAAUAAUAUUUAAUGUCUCAAUUAAAACUCAAUAAAUCCUAUCAGUCUGGAAAUACGAUUCUGCUCUCCCCUUAUUAAAAGGGGGAGAUCCUUCAAUGUUAAUUGUAGGAAAAUUUCAAACUUGUUUUUUCUAACGUUUUGAAUCCGAUGUUUGUAAUAAACUGAAAGAGUUCCUGAACUCUAACAAUCUUCUUUCCAAAUAUCAAUCAGGCUUCAGAAAAAAACAUAGUACCAGUACGGCUAUUAUGAAUACAGUUAAAGAUAUCAUUGAAGCAUUAAAUAAGAAACUGUGUGGCGCGACACUCUAUAUUGCUCUUUCAAAAGCUUUCGACACUGUUGACCAUGCUGUCCUGAAAAACAGACUGAUCAGCUUUGGAUUGUUAGAGCACGCAGUCGGUUGGUUCUCAAACUACUUAAAUAACAGAUCCCAGUCUGUUAAAUAUGAACAUUUGUAUUCUGAUUUUGUUGCUGUUCACUAAAGCUUUCCACAGGGUUCUGUUUUGUGCCCACUCCUAUUCAUCGUGUACACUAAUGAUCUAGUUCAAAAUAUUGAUGCUAACUUGCAUUUCUAUGCUGAUGACAUAGUUAUUGUUACGGUUCAGCUCUAGUUCAGACCAUUGAAACCCUGCAGAAAGCCUUUGUUGUUGUGCAGCAUUCGCUUGUUCACUUAAAGAGUUCAUAAUGCUGAUAAGACUGAGUUGACCUAAGUUUCUAAAAAAGUUUCUGAAGUUCUUCCUGUAGUGUCCACCCUUAAAAGAAACAUUAUCGAGGUAGUUCAUUAAUAUAAGUACCCAGGUGUCUGGAUUGAUGACUCCCUAACUUUUAACCCACACAUAGAAAAACUUGUAAAGAAAUUCAAACCAAAACUUGUUUUUGUCUUUUGCAAUAAGCAACGCUUUUCUUUUGAAGUAAAAAGCGACUUGUUGCUGCUACUAUUUUGCCUGUGAGCGAUUCUGGUGACAUUCUGUAAAUGAAUGACCCGUUAUCCUGUCUUCAAAUGUUAGACGCAAUGUUUCAUUCUGCUUUGAGGUUCAUAACUAACUGUAAAUCGAUGACACACCACUGUGACUUCCACACAAGAGUAAAAUGUCUUUCCCUGGCUA